UUUGUUUUUGUUUCGUAUUAUUUUGACCAAAUAAUUAAGGCAAUAUAUAUAGAAUGCACACAUAAAGCAGUCCCAUACUGUAACUUUGACAGAAGCUCAAGAUUUAAAAAUAAAAAUUGCAUUCAAAGUAGUAACGUAAGCAGCUUUAGCCUUUACUUGAUAAUAAAGAGAUAACUAAGAGGCAAAUAGAAGCAUGCAAAAACACGACACGGUUCAUAUUUAUCAUCCAACUCCCUGAAAGAAAGGUCUCUCUUUAGCGAAAAAGAAAGAUGGGCCAUCAUGAAGUAGGGAACCAUGACAUGGAAGAGCUGGGUGAGACAGAGAGAAACCUGAGGUCACCUUUUCGCCACUUAUCGUCAAGCUUCAGAAGCACUACCUCGGACCUCGCGAUGUCGUCGUCGUUGAGAGAAAAUAAUGAUGACGAGAUCGAGUUGCAGUGGGCUGCGAUUCAGAGACUGCCCACUUUUAAGCGCGUAAGAACCUCAUUGUUCGAUUUCGAGCUUUCAAAUGAUACUACCAAAGAAGAAGAGGAUAUCAAAAUUGAAGGGAAGAGAAAGGUGAUCGAUGUUACCAAGCUGGGAGCAUUGGAGCGCAGCGUUUUUAUCGAGAAACUCAUUACCAAAAUUGAGUACGAUAAUCUUCGCCUCUUGGAGAAACUGAAAGAAAGAAUAGGCAGGCAAGAAUCUAUACGUCUCUCUCUUCUUCUUCUUCUUUUUUUGUUUCGAAGCAGUUAUUAUACCGUUUACCUUUCAUGCUUGAAAAACUUGCAUUUAACAAAAAAAGCUAGCGAAUGCCUUGCGCUUCAAUCCUUUUGAGUUUCCCCUCAGUUGAAACUGAAAAAUAUUAAUUAGGAUGUCACAAUAUUUUCUGUUUUCAUUUUUUUUUAAAUUUAAAACAAGUUUGGUAAAUAAAAAAAAUUUAGUUAUCACUAAUGAAAAUAUAAAAACACUUUUGGCACAUGCGUUCAUAGUUGAGUCAUUCAACCAAACUUAUUCAUGGUAUCAUAUCAUACAUAUAGUUAUUUAAACUGGGCUAACCUAAAAUAUGAGUUUCAAAAUUCACUCAAAUUUAUCUAUGUUACUAUUAUUUUUUAAAACUUUUAAAAGUAUGAUUAUUUUUAUUUAUUAUUUAUAUAUAUCUUUCACUAUCCUUAUAUAUUUUCUAUUAAAAUUUUAAAGAUAAUUACCUAAAAAUAUCUAACAUAAAUAAAUUAAAAUAUUUUUAAAUAUUUUAUAGUAUAGUAUAAUAUAUUUAAUCAAUUAUGGAAAAAGCAAAAUCUUAAGUAUUAUGGUUUAAUGCAAUGCUUAUGCAUGUAUUAUAUCUAAUAGUAUGAGUAACAUCAAUAUAUAUGAAAUUGAUUUUAUGAAAAAUAAGUCAAUCAAAAGAUACAAUAUGUUAUAAAUUCCUAGCUUGCAGCUGACAGUGACAUUUGUGCUUAGAGUGGGGUUGGAAUUUCCGACUAUUGAGGUGAGAUUCCAGAAUUUGUCAGUGGAAGCAGAUUGUGAAGUAGUUCAAGGGAAGCCCAUUCCUACACUUUGGAACACCAUCACCACUGUAUUCUCUGUAAGUAUUUUUUGCAAUAUGUCCCACUACAAUUGUUUCUUACUAAAUAUAAUAUCUAAAAAAACUAUAGAAAAUGAAAUAUCUAAAACAUCUAUUCAUAAUAGCUUACCUUACCCAUCCUAAAGCAAAUCAAUAAUACAGGUUUUCUUCCCAAAUCUUCAUAGCUUUUUCAGCUUUAUAUGCUUAAAUAAUGGGAAAUUCUUUGUUUUUAGAAAAUUAAAUAACUGGGAUCAUCUUCUUCACUCUCAUAAUACAUAAAAUUGUAAUAUUUUGGUUUCAUCUUCCUCAAAUGCGCUCUUUUUCAUUACUAUUUGGAUAUAUAUCACCCUAAUGGGAGAGAUUUAUAAUGUUAAACAGGCUUUGACAAAAGUUAGCAGAUGCAAGUCUCAAUCAUACAAGAUAAAAAUUCUCAAAGAUAUCAGCGGCAUCAUCAAGCCCUCAAGGUUCACUUUGGCUAUCGACUUCUACAUUCUUGUCAGCUAUGCAUGAUCUAUGAGUUUAGGCUACUUUUUAGAUAACAAUAGUUACACCAAAAAAGUAACAGAUAAGCUGCCAAAAACUCACUCUUUUUAUGCAGGAUGACUCUAUUGCUUGGCCCUCCAGGCUGCGGAAAGACCACCUUGUUACAAGCACUUUCAGGGAAGCUUAAUCCAUCUCUCAAGGUUUUCUAUUUGUCCAUCAAAUCCCUCUUGAAUUAGCAAUCUGAAUAAUCUGCAUUAGCCGACACUGGAAAUACAAUACAAAAUUUUAAUCAUUGAUUCCAAAACUACAACCAAAUGACAUGUAGCAUCUAAUAAGUUCAAGAAUAACGAAUAACGAAAAGUUUGUGGAUUGAACUACAAUCAAUCUUGGGGAAUACUUUUAUUUCAGGUCACAGGGGAAAUAUCCUACAAUGGUUACAAGUUCACAGAGUUUGUGCCUCAGAAUACAUCAGCUUACAUAAGUCAAUAUGACCUACACAUUUCUGAAAUGACUGUAAGAGAAACACUUGACUUCUCAGCUCGUUGCCAGGGCAUUGGAGACAGAGCAGGUAUAUUACUUUGCAUCUUGUACCAACAAUCAUACUUUCAUAACAGGAAACUGAUCUUAAAUUGUCUAUGAAUAAAGAUAUGUUAAAAGAAAUCAGUAGAAGGGAGAAGCAAUCUGGCAUUGUUCCGGAACCAGAUAUAGACACAUUCAUGAAGGUAAUUUGCUAGAAAUAGUGUUCAUAUCAGCACUUAGAGAGGGCAGGAUAUCAAGGCCUUUGGAGCCACUUCUGACUAUAAUCGGUGUUAACAGGCAAUUUCUGUUGAAGGAUUAAAAGGAACUCUCCAGACAGACUAUAUAUUGAAGGUAAUUCUCUCGAAAGAAAAGAAAUGUAUAAAAUGAAAUCCAUGUUCUUCUCUAACAGUUCCACAAUCAUUCAUUUCCACUCAGAUUCUUGGACUGGACAUUUGUGCCGAUACUAUAGUGGGAGAUGCAAUGAACAGAGGUAUCUCAGGAGGUCAAAAGAGAAGGCUGACAACAGGUUGUGCAGUUCUAUCACCUUCCUAUUAAAGUUAUAAAGUUUAAGAGAACCGAGAUUAAUGUUCUAUAAAGCCCUAGCAAGUAACAAGGGACCUUUAUGAAACCCUGAUCAUAUAACUCCCUGAGCCAUACAAAAUCAUGUCAUUCUAAUAGAUUUUCUAUGUUUUCUUUUGAUAGGGGAAAUGAUAAUCGGUCCAAAUAAAGCACUCUUUAUGGAUGAAAUAUCAACUGGCUUGGACAGCUCCACUACCUUCCAAAUAGUUACCUGUUUACAGCAACUAACCCACAUUACAGAGGCAACACUUCUAGUAUCACUUCUUCAACCGGCACCAGAGACCUUUGAUCUCUUUGAUGACAUUAUUCUGAUGGCAGAAGGAAAGAUUGUAUACCAAGGACCAUGCAGUUCUGUUCAAGAGUUCUUUGAACAUUGUGGUUUUAGGUGCCCUGAGCGCAAAGGCGUUGCUGACUUCCUCCAAGAAGUAUGUGUUCAUUAAUCCACUUAGAACGUUUCAUGUCAUUUUUCUUUAACUGAUGUUUUAAAAUAAAUUAAUUUCAGCUGCUUUCUGAAAAGGACCAAGCACAAUAUUGGUAUCGUAAAGGCCAACCUCAUAGUUUUGUUUCUGUGGACAACUUUAUAGUUGCAUUCAAGAAGUUUCACGCAGCCCAGAAGCUAAAUGAAGAACUGUGCACACCUUUCAACAGACGUGAGAGUCAUAAAAGUGCCUUGUCAUUCAACAUGUAUUCAAUGGGUAAAUGGGAAUUACUCAAAACAUGCAUGGCAAGAGAAUGGCUUCUCAUGAAGAGAAACUCAUUUGUUCAUAUCUUUAAAUCGUCACAGGUAAUAACAAUUAUAAUAAGCAUGUGUAUAGUAUCAAACUUUGGUGAUCAACAUACCCACUAACCAGCCUUGGAUGCUUCCUACAUGCAGCUUGUAGUUAUUGCACUCAUGACGAUGACCAUCUUUAUUCGCACUCGGAUGAAGCUUGACCUUGUCCAUGCAAGCUAUUACCUGGGUUCCCUGUUUUAUGCUCUCAUA
rnacentral:lncRNA from 1 species